AACGAGACCUUAACAUGCUAAAUAGACCGGUCGGCUUUUGCUGGCCGCUGUCUUCUUAGAGGGACUAACAGCGUUUAGCUGUUGGAAGUUUGAGGCAAUAACAGGUCUGUGAUGCCCUUAGAUGUUCUGGGCCGCACGCGCGCUACACUGACUGAGCCAGCGAGUUUAUAACCUUGACCGAAAGGCCUG
rnacentral:rRNA from 1 species